UGCAGAACAUGCACAUGUUCCUGUCGUCUUUCACAUUCUGUCCUUCUAACGCCAAGGCAUCAUUUCUAUCAUGCCUUCUGUGUGCGCUUCGGUCUUCUAACGAGUGUCCCAUCUGUUUCAGGUCGCAAGAUUCGGUGUUCUUCAUCUCAUCCGCUUGAGCGAAUGAGGCGAAUGAACACCGCGUCCUGCGCAACGGUCAUGCGUAAUAGUGCAGGCGUCCUGCACUAUUGCGCAUGACGUCUUGCCCGACGCCGCCCUACACCGGUUCGCCUUGUCAACUUUCGCUUCUGGCAAAAGUUGAUUCGGCGUUCUUCCCCGGCUGGAGCGUGCCAUCCGCUGUGCGGUACCUCUCCUCUGCAAACUGUUGGUGUCACCAGGGCCACGUGCUGCUAACAGGAGAUCAUGGACAAGGAUCGCGCUGCUUCCCUGGCAAUUAACAGAACACCGACGCCGUCACUGUAACCAGCUUCAUCAGCGGCAUCGAAUUGGUGAGGGUGUGCUGAGCGAGUAACAGGUCUGGCGAAGGUGGCAUGCUUUCAACGACCAUUGCCACUUGCCAGUUUGCUUGCGCCAUUGAAUCUUGAGGUUAAUCGUGCAGGGAACCAUGUAGCUAAACUUCGGCACAGUUGUUGCCGCGAUAGCUCUUCUCCACGAUGAAACCGAAAGGGGACCAGCUGGUGUGGCGGCGCAUAUUGCUUCGGGCUUUGUAAACCUGAAGUCGUAUGCGUCUUUAAUUGCAGGUCGUGGCCGCAGCGAAGGGCAAGCAACACAACACUCACAAACACUAUAGUUUUACCCUAGGUAGGUCGUGUACAGGGCGUCCUGGGGAGGCUGGCGCUGGACUGUAAAGACCAACAUAGGUGGGUAUUACCUUGCCGGUGCUUGUCAUUCGGUGGGUAGUACUCUGCCAGUGCCUGUCUACGCAUACGUCCACCCACUAAGUCCUGCUGCGGCCACUGUCACCACACGAGUCGUGUGGCAAAGGGGGACGUUUAGCGGACACUAGGCAGGUUUUAGCUAACACUAGGCAGGUUGUAGCUUUUGGAAGUCCCCUUGCGUUUUCAUCGGGAGGAGGGCCCACUUCGGAUUCCGUUGCACUCCUGGCCGCCGUUUCGUGCCGGUUAAUUCUGGUACGAA